rnacentral:tRNA from 1 species
UUUUAAUAGCUUAUUUAGAGUAUGAUAUUGAAGAUAUCAGGGAGGCUUUUAGCCUUAAAAUAU